GAGAGAGGCUCGCCAGCAACGGGGGCUGCUAAUCUCCGCAACCUUGGUUGAACCCCAGGGCUCACUCG
rnacentral:tRNA from 1 species